rnacentral:lncRNA from 1 species
UCGGGGCUCAUCUACGAGGAGACCCGCGGCGUGCUCAAGAUCUUCCUCGAGAACGUCAUCCGCGACGCCGUCACCUACACCGAGCACGCCCGCCGCAAGACCGUCACCGCCAUGGACGUCGUCUACGCGCUCAAGCGCCAGGGCCGCACCCUCUACGGUUUCGGCGGUUAGGCCCGCCAGAUCCGUCGCCCGCGGAAACCAGAUUAGGAGCUAGCCUCUGUUUAGGAUUCAUGUUCUGUUGUGGGGUAAUUGCAGUAUCUCGCUGUCUUGUUUCCUCUGUUCUGCUGUUUGGUGCAUGGACAAACUGAUCACUGCUGGUUUGCUAGAAUGGAAUGGAAUGGAAAUUUCACCCUUGAAUUCUUAUGCAAUCUCCUAGCUCUGCUGAUAUCCCGGUUCUGUCGCUCUGUAUUAUCUUUGUCCUCAAAUUAAUUGAUGUGUGCUACAGUGUUCGAUUUGAAUGAUGCCUGAAUUUUUUCUAUCUGAAUUUCGUAAGUCCACCACAAUCUGAUUUAAAUCCCAAAUUCGAGAACCCGUUGAGAAGUAGCUGCAGAACAGAGAGGAACUGAACCGUGUGUUGAUAAUAUGGUAGAAGUGUCUUGAUAAUUGUUCGUUUAUUGAUGAAAAGAAUGUGGCACAAAUUGCAGGUAACCAUAGGCGCCAUGGAGUGGGGGAAAGUCUACUUGGUGGAAGACGUUGUGACGGAGGCUGCAGCCUGCAGGUGAUUGCUUCUUGCCUCUGCAAUUCGCUUGGUAGUUCCAGACUUGUGUCCCAAGUUCAAACAGAGCCACAUUAAGUAUUCUAUUCCAUAAAAUACAAAUUUCGCAAUGCUUAGUGAAUUGUCAAUCGAAGAUUAAUAAAUGGUGCAUGCUGGGUCACUGUCGACUAGUUAACUGCAUAUUCAUAUCCAUCCAUAAUGUUGUGUGGUUCCUCACACACCAUUAGGAUUACUUAGCGUAAUCUUUUGGUUUUGUUGAAUUACAUGAUACAGUCUUCUUUAGCAUAGGCCAUGCUGAUAUUUAGGGCCAAAAGCUUGAAUCAUUUUUGUUCUCUCCGUGGUACUGUAUAUCAUCACCUUAUGCUACUUCGACUGAUCUUUUGAAGUGGAUGGAACAAAGCGAAAAACUGGCCACAGACCUGUUGAAAAUGGCUGCUGAAAAUCUAGGAAGGUUGAAACGGAGCUGCUCGUCCAAAUGCAGGUCUUCUUCUCUUGCCCGGGAAACUGGUGGAGCGUUCUUCUUUGAUUAAUUAUAUUAGAGUGACCCAAAUUAUUAAGACAAAACCAAUCCACAAUCAUAUCUUUUAUCUUCAUAUUUCAAUAUUUGCAUAGCAACCGCCGUCGAUACAAAUUCUUCAAUAGUAAACAAACAAUUUUUUUGCUAUCCUCUAAUAUUACAGGGUGUUGACCAUAAUAUGACAAGCAUAGUCAAAAAAUAAUGAUGAUGAGGUCCUUGUUCUUGCUGCUUGUAACAGUACAUAUGCUCUGGAUCUGGGUAGAGAAUAUUUAAUGAAUUAUUCAUCUAAUUGCAUCGUGCAUCUUUCUUAGAAGAAAAAUAAGUUGUGCAUCUGUGUUGUGUUUUUCACUUAUUCUUACAGUAUUGAACAUGUCAUACCUGUGCCCCAGCCUGCGCGGUUACGUCUCGAACAAUCACACCUACAUUUCACCGCCUGACCUUAAAGCUAGGUAAUGCAGGUUCAAGGUAAUGAACUGGCAAAAGAAUUUUUUUGGCAUUGCUACUAACUUCUGUUACCUUGACAGCUUGACAUCUGACAUUGAUGUACUGAAUUUUCUACUCAGACCUAUGCGGUUUUUCCAGGUAAUAAUUUUGAUUGCUACAGAAGUUCAAGUGUCACAUCAAGCCAAGGUGUCGAGGUAAAUUCAUUCUAGAGAUCCUAUAUGCAAAUACCAAGUGAUACUUCACAGCCUAAUAUUGCAUCAUAUCCAAUUAGAUGGCUAUUGUCAUGAGAGCUCAGAACGUAUUCUGCAGUGGCUCUUGGGUUGCUGGCACAUGGGCUGAAGAUCUUCAGCAUAUUGGAUUGUGUGCAAUUUAGUUCACCAUUGUUGUUUUCCUGCUCCUAGUUCGGCUUGCACCUCAAUCUACUAUUAGACUUCUUUAUGCAACCAGGGAAUAUGCAUGUAGUUCAAAGAUUUGAGGGCCCUAGAGACUAGAGCAGGGAAAAAACAUAAGUAUACAUGUGGUUUUCAGUUUACUGACUCCUGUCAAACAUUAGUGCCAUGUGCAAUAUUAUGUGCCUGCAUGCGUUACUCGCUCCAGUCACAGAUAUAAGGCAUUUGGACAUUGUUUUCUAAUAGCAUAUACUUUAACUGAACAGCAACUGUUGAGGGAAAAGCUCAGAGGAGGAUCUCUGUUCAGCAACAUUUUGUAGGUGUUUCCUCUGUGUCUCUCUAUCAAAUUUUCAUGACAGAUUCAUGGUUCUUGCAUGUUUAAUAGUUCUAAGUAUAUGCUUACAGCUAUAUAAUCCGAGUUUACAUGUCUACGUUAUGUUUUUCUUACAUAUAUUGCGCUGUGAGCAUAGUUGUAAUCUUGUCCAAGUUCUGUGUCACAAGACUGGAAACUACAAGUUAUUUGAGAUUGGCAAACCUAAUGACCAACAAUAUCAUGCAAAGUGUUCCUUUCUGGGAGGUGAUAGAAUCCAAACUGUCCAGCUUCUGUGUAUUUUGGGCCUGCUCAGGUUUUUUCUUCUGUCUUUGCUUUUUGUAUUUUUUUUUUCACAUCCUUUUUACUGCAUUUCCUUAGAGAUUCUUCUUCAAACAAACAUGCAGACUUCCCUGAGUGAAGUUCUCACCGACAACACUGGCAAAUUGAUUUCAUGGUUGCAUAUGCUGUGAAAAUAGAAGGUUGAUAUAUAGACGUGCAAAAAUAGAAUGAUGACAUUGAGAGUGACUUCCUUGCACAGUGUUUUCAUAUGUUUUCUUUUAGAUCUUCAGUAUACUGCACUUAUUGAGGUGUAUUCAGUCUAUUUUCUUGAUCAUCUCUUGACUCGAGUUUAUAUUGUGUGGUUUAUUUUGUGUUGAAGUGUAUGUGUGGAUUGACUAGCCUUUUCCAUCAAUUUGGACUUCUAGUUGUGUGGCUUGUGAAUGAAACUUGACAACUUUUUCUGUCAAGUCAUAUUAAUCCUUUUGCCUUUCUGAAGAAUUCAUUUUAUUGUGUUUGAGCGCCAGUUCAACAGGUUUUGCUUAAAUUUAUGUUCUGAUGGGAAGACAUAUUAGAGGCAGAGCUCAACCAAGAGCAAUGUUAUUCUGUAUAAAUAUAUUACAGUACAUAUAUACAACAGUUAUGAUCCAGUACUACUCAUUAGUGACAUGGUAAACUACAAUACAAACAAAAGGAAAAUAUCGUAAGCAUCAUGCUAGACGAUGCUCAUGGGACUGUCACCGGACAUUUGAGGCUACAUCAGGAGGGAUAGGACACGUGUACUCGCAUAACUUCCAUAUUUACUUGUCUCGUGGACUAGAAAUUAGGCAAUCACAGUAGCGUAGGUGCUGUUUUUUACUCAUGAAGUUAGAAGGCAUAUUAGAAUCCUUUUGCUGUUGGCUUUUAUUCAUAAAAUCAAUUCAAGUGCUAAAUUCUCUCUUAUACUCCAUAUCUGCUUAUAUAGCUAAAUACUCCUCCUUAAUUAUCAGCGUUGUGUAAGCGCACGGGCACUAGAUUUAGAAAUGCUCAGACUUUCAAUGUUCACUGAAUUAGUAAAUCUUGUCUUUCCUAAAAAGAAUUAGUAAAUCUUAUCAUAACAAAUGUUCAUUCGAAAGUGUUCAGAAAUUUUCAGUUUUUAAUCAUGAAAUGUUCAGUUUUUUGCUCUCUAAAUUGUGCGUCUUUAUUUUGUUUGCUCCUGUGUAGAAUUAGUAAAUGUGCAGAAUUGUUAAACUAUCCUAAGCUAGGAGAUAGAGCCAACACCUUCAUGGAGUAGAAUCACUGCUCUGGUUAAGCGUAGAAUCUUCAGUUUUUUAGACUCUCACUGAAGAUUGUGUUCCUAAAUCAACAUCAAGUUUAGGAACAAGUGUGUUCCUAAAUAAUCUUCAGUUUAGGAACAAGUGUGUUCCUAAAUAAUCUUCAGGAAAAAACAGAAAUUGAUCACCACAUAUUUCCAGUUCCAAGUUUCUAACAGUUUCAGUAUUUUCAGUUCCAAGUUUCUAACAGUUUCAGUUUCCGAUUUAUAAAUGAGGCUAAGUACAAUAACAACAACAACAAAGCCUUUAGUCCCAAACAAGUUGGGGUAGGCUAGAGGUGAAACCCAUAAGAUCAAGCGAUCAACUCAUGGUCCCGGAUAGCAAGCUUCCACUCACCCUUGUCCAUGGCUAGUUCUUUGGUCUGUACGGACUCUUCUCAUGUCAAGUUCGGUCUAUCCCGACCUCUCUUAACAUUAUUGACAUGCUUUAGCCGUUCGCUAUGCACCGAAGAUUCUGAAGGCCUGCGCUGAAUAUGUUCAAACCAUCUAUAAAAAACUGGAAGUUUGUUUUAUUCUAGACUACUUCUGUUGUUUUUUAGCUGACUGGUGCAACACAACAUCGAGCGAGCUCGCUCGUUAUUGGGCCGUGGCCACGCUAUGUUGUCAGGAUGAGUGGCCGCCGUCCAUCGGGGGGAAUGACUCAUUGUCGUCUCUUCAAGGCUCACGCCCUCUCACUCACAGCCUCGGCCUUGCUUUGGAUUCGCAAGGUUCUUUUAUUUACAAACCGAGUUUAUAGUCUUGGAGGACAAGUUCAUAUGAAGAAUGUUCUUGACAUGUGCCGAAAUCCCGGGUGCUUGUGAACCCCAACACUUUUGAUCACAUUGGUGUACCUUUCCAUUUCGCUUCCACUGCAUUGCUUGCUUUCUUCGUCAACUACACGUAUAACUCUCUCAGUUUCUUUGGUAUGCGGGCGGACAAUCUUAAUCCACUAGAAGAGAAAGCUUCUCCCUCCACCGUUUCCUUGACUGCUCCUCUCAUUUUUUGGCGAGUACUUACAUGAUCCAAUCUAGUUUUCUUCGGUGUCAGCUUUGCACCCGUUAGUGGCGACACUGAGAUGGUGGGGUAGUACGCAUGAAUUUUUUUCCCAUGGCCGUAUCCUUGCACGGUUAAAUUUCGUAUUUUGACCCUUUACGAAAGUUGUUCGACAUAUGACCUUCGUUUGCAAAAAAUUUGAGAUCUUACUUUUUUUCUACCGCCGGGGUCCAUAACAGAAGGAUAUAAUAACCUACCGUCGAGGUCUCUGGCGGUAGGGUUGCAUGCCCUACCACACAAAAAAUUGCUAAGUUCCACACACAAUGCGUAUAUGCAUCUAUCGUCGGACACCUUGACGGUAAGGUUGCACAUGCUACCAUCAGACCUUGUGGCGGUAGGGAGCAUUGCGCUGACGUGGUCAAUUUGCCUACCGUCAGGGACCUUGAUGGUAAGCUGUUAUACCCUGCCGUCAUAGACGCCGGCGGUAGGAAAAGGGUCGAAUCCCAUUUUUAUUUACAAAUGAGGGUUAAUUCUCGAACAACUUUUGUAAAAGGGUCGAAACAUGCAAUUUUUCCUCCUUACACUGGUAUGAUUGUUGUGGGCGACACUGUCAACACUAAAAAGACUAUAUUGGUUUGGUUAUCGUAUUUCAUGCUUUUCUACUCGCAAAAUUCUUUUGGACUCGUAUGACCAUGAAUCUAGUGGUUAAAUAACCUCCAACUUAGCCAAACCGCGCUCGCGGUCACCUACUCUCACCUUAUUGGUUAGGUGACUCUCUAAGAGCAUCUACAACCAGAUUAACCAAUAUGAUCCCCUAAACGUGUGCGAACGCGACCGGUAGACCGGGCGUGUCUCAUAUUUAUCCAUCCGUGUAACCACAUUUUUCAUUUUUUUCAUAUGUUCGGUCAUUUGUACGUAGUUGAUGGAGAUGAAGAGAGAUAAAAGAAAAGAAUGGAUAACGAAAAAGAAAAUAUGGUUUUGGAUGGGGUCACGUUUCUCACGUGACGGACUGACUGGGCGUGCUCUGAUACGCCCGCGACCCCUCAUACUGCCCUCAGAUUUGAGACGGAUUUGAGGGGUACCGAUCAUCCCAGACGUUUAGGAUGAAAAUGAGUGGUCUGGUCGGGUCAGCUUUUUUUAUUGAAAUAUGAUCGGCGAACGUUUUGAACAUUUAUGAAGAAAGUAGGGGGUCGGGCUGUAGAUGCUAUAAAGGCUUGUGCAUGUUUGGUCAUCUACGAUUUUUUUCACUUAGAAUUAUAGACGGAUUUGGAUGCAAAAAGGUGAAAUUAAAGACGACAACUUUGAAGACCUUCGAAUUAACUUUUAUGAUGUAAUAUUUGUUGUUUGUGUCAUGCGCUCUGGUUAGUUUAUUUUAAUGGAGUAUAAUUUCGGCGGUAUACUUUUUGAAAACAUUGACGAGACCAUUUUUCUAGAGAUAUUCCUCCGGGCAUACAAUAUUUUCCUUGCAGUACUGUACAUACCCAUAUUCAAUCAUGGAGCUUGCGGCCAGCUCCCGCCUCUUCCCGGCGGAGACGCCACGUACGUCCCGGCCGAGAAAGCGCGCAGCGGCAGCGUGCACAUCACUGACUGACUUAAUUGUCGCGCCUGCUCUCAACAAACCGCUGCUAGUAAUGACGGAAGAGCACAUUGACGGGACGAUCGGCCGAGCAGCCCGGCGAGAUGGCGGGCCACGGUCGCGAUCGGCAUCGGCAUCGGCGUCCAUCAGCGCCCGUGUUUUUCUCCGGGUCUGACCAGGAAUGGCAUGCCGAGACCGACGUGCGCCGAGCCACAGAGCGGCGGUCGGCCGCGCGCGCGACACCUGUGCCGCCGGUGGUGGUUCCGUCGCCGGCUCGUCCCGAUCAGGCAAAUGCGGUCCAAGGGAACAUGUGAGGCCAUGUGAGGGCGCGUCUGUGCCGGUGACUCGGUGUCGGGGCCAAAAGCGUUCGUUUGGCCGUGUCCGGCGCCUCUGCCGGCCCCGACGGCGACCGCAGGCGACGAUCGCUUCGCUGUUCGCGGCGAGAAGCUUAGGGUCGAUCGUCCUGUAUGUAUGUAUGUAUGUAUGUAUGUAUGUAUGUAUGUAUGCUUGCUCUCGCAGCCCAAACGGCCACAAGUUCAGGAGCACAUGCCGCUCACUGUCAGUGACUCGGCGACGACGCUGUGUUGAUCCAUCGUACCGGCAAGUUGGCGACGUGGGUGGCAUCCGGCUUACCAAACGGGGCGCACGGACAAGCUUGGACCAAUGAGUGGCUUCAAAUCCACACAACCUUGUCCUUAACUACAGCUUGAACAACAUGGCUUACUGGAAACUGUACAUGAAUGACAUGCUCGGACAGGGGUUCAACUUCAAGGCAGCCUAAACCAAGAGGAGCAGUAGUAACUCAACUCUGCCGAUCGAGCGCAAAGUCAUAGAAUUCCCGAUAUGAUCGCCGCGUCGCACAGCGAUGUCCGAACAUCACAAGGGACCACUCUCUCUCGGACUCGGUCGCCGCAUCGAUCACAUAUUCACAUGAGGUGAGUCAUCAAUGGAGGGAGUGAAGGAACAUCGCGUAGCCCGUGAACGAUGGCCUUCGCCUUCGCCUUCGCCUUCAUUUGACUCUCCUCUCGCGGUUGCUGUAGCGGGCUACCUUUUGCGUUUCAAUGCUNCUGAACAAUCUAUACUUCCGAUGGGCGAUGGAUCACCAUGCAUGCGUGCGUGCUCUCUUGACCGAUCAUGAGUCCUGUUCCCAGAUCAGAUGGUUCACGAGUGGACCAUAUGUGGAGCCAGACGUUCCUCGCAACAUGACACGGGAGGUAGGUUGUGGUCUGUGGCAGACAACAGGGGUGUCAGCUCAUGUGUUCUUUGGCCAUGGCCCUCGAACCGGGCCGGACCGGGCCUCUGUGUAAAAUGGUAAUUUAUGCAAACAUGAACCUGGCUCGAACUGCUACCCGGACAUGAAAACUCGGCCCGAACCUGACCCAAACUGCAAGCCCGGACUGGUCCGGCCCGGGUUUCUUGGACGGGGUUACCGGGCCGGGCUGCCUAUCCCAGAUUUAGGCGCAAGGCCACCAUUGGUCCUGGCCUGGCCAUGCAUUGAUGCAUGCGUGGCCACCAUUUGAUUUGGCCAUCAUCCAACGGAGCUGGGCAGCCAUGCAUCUCGCUAGCAACGACCCUACUAGGUACGGCGACGUGCCAAAUCCUGAUGCUGAUGCAUGAUUUGUGACACUAAUAUAAAAGAUGCAUAAUUGGUGUUAGGAAUCAAAUUAAAUAGCGUUAGAUUUUGAAUAAUUUGACAGUCAACAUAUUUUUUAGAAUAUUCUGUCUAGCAGUUACAAUUUUGACUUUGUUCAUACAUUGUACAUCUCAAAGUCUCUACCAAAGACACAUCACUUGUAACCGACAUUGUAACAUGUGUGAUCAGAUGGUAUAUAAGGCUGAACACCAAUAUCAAUAAAACUACUACAUUCACUUCAAUCCUUUUCUUUGCUUCUCAAUUGGCAAUGAUGCCAGUCUUCUUCCACUCUUACUUGAAAAUGCGAUGUCAUUUUCCCGAGGAAUUAAUUUCCAUAAACAAGUCGUGUGGAUGGACAUGCAUGGUUUGCGCACACUAGUUUCAUUCCGAAUUAUUUGCUGGAUAUUAUCUUGGCCAUGCGCAAACCUAGAGAGAAAAUUACCAUGUAUCCUAGCAUAUGAUCAGUCAUAAUUUUCAUCUAAAGAUGAUAUGUCACACACUAUAUUUUACAUGAAACAUACAAACAAAACGUCCCUUGAGCACUGCUCCUUGAGAUAUCAAAAAGGCUUUCGCCCUGCUUUAUAAAUAAAGCAAACCACCAGAUCAUAAUAUUUGACACAAGUUCAACACACACACACACGUACAUAAGUGGCACAAGACAUCAACAAAGGGUUCCGCUGAGGGCACAAUUGAACAAGCCCUAAGAAACACACACACCCACACCCAAACCGAGCAGCGGGAGGAUGUAAAAGCCACAUCAUGCUAAUCUGGAUGUGGAGGUGGCGGCGGAAGCGGGGGCGCCAUGCGGAGAGCCAUCAGACGAAGGUUGGCGAUGAUGUUGUUGAUGGCGUCUCGGUCGAAGGAGCGGUUAAGCGACCGCCAGAGCUGCAUGAAACCACACAUUUUAAAAACUGUGUUAAUUGCAUGUCGUAGGGGUACACGCUGGAUCACAAACUUGUUGCGGAUAGUCCAUAGAGUUCACGUGAGCACCCCCGAUGUCUAGCCACCUAAUGUGCCGGGCCGACGAGGGGACGGACUUAAUCUCCAUUGACCGUCGACGGUGUCGCGGAAGCAACUCCAGAGGAAUUGAGCAGUGAUGCAAGUGAAGAAGAUGUGAUUGGAGUCCUCCAAAACGUCGCACAGAGGGCAGAUCCCAUCUCCAAUGCCAUUGCGUUUGAGCACCUCCACCCUAGAGGGUACCCGGCCCCGAAUUCAUUGCCACAGGAAGAUUCUGAUUUUUAGUGGUAACCUAAUGUCACACACAUCGGUGAGGGCCUCUGGGGCAGACGACGGGGCGAUGGCCUGUUACAAAGACCGAGCGGAGCAGCGGCCCGAGGGUUCCAGGUGCCAAGACAUGCGGUCCGCAACGGUGUCGAUGUCGGGCGAGUGGUGGGCGAUGCACUCCAGCAUCUCAUCCUAGGCACGGAGCUCAGGCGGACCGAACGGGUGACGGAACACGAGGCACCCAAGAUCCAGAAGGGCGACCUCGACCGAGGUCCUAGGCUCCACCGCGAUGGAGAAUAAUACCGGGAAUCGAACGGCAAACAACGAUUCACUGGCCGAGCGAUCAAACCAAAAUAGUGUAGCGGACCCAGAUCCAAUCGAGAUGGAAGAACCAAUGUGAAGGACAGGGAGCAACUGGAUGACCGAUUGCCAGAAUUGGGGGCCUCCGGAACGUUGGCAGAAUGUGAGCGGCUGGCCCCAAAGGUACUUGCUCCUAAUGAUGUCGAGCCAGAGGCCACCGUCACCAUUGGGAAUCCUCCACAGCCACUUAGUCAGCAAGGCGAUGUUCAUGCACUUCGACGACAUGAUCCCCAGACCGCCCUGGUCGCGGGGCUUGUAGAUGCCGGGCCAGCUGACCAUGUGGUAUUUCUGCUUAUCGCCCUCGCCAGCCCAGUAAAAUCUAGACUGGUACUUGGGAAUUUCGUGAUGCAAAGUCUCAAGGAGACUGUAGAAGCUCAUCACGAAUAAGAGAAGGCUGGAUAAGGAGGAGUUGAUGAGCACGGUCCUGGCCACCUUGACAACCACCGACCUUGCCACGGUUCGACCCGGUGUUGGAGCUUAGACACCGUAGGCCGCGGGUUAGCGACAGAGAGGCGCGAGUCAGUAAGGUGUACCCCCUAGGUAGGAGGAGGGGAAGUACCCAAGCUGGCAGUUUAGGCUGUCGGCGAUGAGUUGGGCCUCGUCGGGAGAGUAGCCAAAGAUCAUGACUUAGCUUUUGUCGAAGUUGAUCUUGAGCCCCGAUAUCUGCUGAAAGCAAAGGAGGAGAAAUUUAAGGUUGAUAAUAUCAUCCUCAGAUCCCUCCUCCGUGAUAAUGGUGUCAUCAGCAUAUUGCAGGAGGGAGACCCCUCCCCCUUCUACGAGAUGAGUAACAACACCAUGAAUAUGGCUGACUGCCUUGGCCUUAUCGAGGAUGGUGGCAAGGGCGUCUACCACCAUGUUAAACAUGAAGUGGAGAAGGGAUCCCCUUGCCUAACCCCACAGUGGGUGCGGAAGUACGGUCCAGCUUCCCCGUUGAUGUUAAACGCGGUCUAGCCAGACGAAACCAUCUGCAAAACUCGGGUCACCCACCGAUCAUCAAAGUUGUUUCCUUUUCUCUUUUACAUCGUGUGCAUGAAAAGGGAAUAGAUUAAGGACAUCUCCAACGCCGUUCUUUAAAACGUCGGUAAAAGUCCACACAACACGGUUUGAAUGUUUUGUGCCAGUCAAUGCUAUGUAUCAAACGACCGUGGACUGGUGGACAUUUCCGAACUCCUAUAAACUGGAAGCACGGUCGUGGAAGGUUUGUGAACGUCCGGAUCCUCACAACAUAAGUGUCCGACAUCCUGCACCCAUCCAAAACCGAGGUGGAGUCUCCGCAUUUGGACAAACACAUUUUUCACACGAAAGCCCAUCCUUUUCCCACUAUCUCCCCUCUGAUCGCUUACCCUUGAGCCGCAAUAUUAUUUUAACGUCACGUCUAUUAGCUCAUUCCUCUUUCCUACUGUGACACAACGUUUGCCGCCUCUGUCCCCGACCGACUAAGGGCAGCGGCAGCAUGCGCAUCACAGACAAACUUAAUUGUGGCCCCUCCCCCUUUCAAGGAACUUGUAAUUGCGACCAAAGUCUAUCGACGGGAUAAUGGUAGAUCGAUCGAGCAACCUCCGAUGUGGCACACCUUAAUUAUCGGAUGUAGAAUGCAUUAUAUGAGACGUGUCCGGUCAGUGUGUGCCGAUGCGAUUGACACCACGAGGGCAUCUUUUAUUUUCUUUUAUUUUCUCUCCAUUUUUAUGCAAAUCCCUAUCGAUUAUAUUAUAACGUCUUAAUAAUUGCUAAAUCUUCAAGCCAUCCAUCCAGCCACUAGUAUAGUUGUUAACUAGUGUAGUCCUUUCCAAGGCGUACUUGACCCGUAAAGUUGCAUCACCAAACCACAAACCCUUGCCUACUCACUUCUUCUUUUUCAACACACUACACUACGUACGCAAGCCCCUCAUAUACAUACACACAUGUUAUAAUCAUCCCUACAAACAUCCACCUUAUUCAUUCAUGCCAACACCUCCAACACACUAAAUCGACAUAUCAUGUUACGAUUUACCAAGGACUUAAACCCCGGUGGCCUAGGGAUGACAUUGUUUCUCUAACCAUCCAACCACACAUUGAUUUGCACUCAAUUUUUUCUUGAGAUUAUAUAUAAAAAAAUGAUAGUACCCGUAGAUGGUUGUAUAUUAGGGGUAAGCCUACGGACCUGCUUCCCUAGGUUCACCUAGGACCCCUUACGGACAUCACUGUCCUUAAAGUCAUCCGUGUAGCCUCAACCUCACUCGAUACUGCAUACCAUAACUCGGCCUCACUGGAGUCACUCGGAUGCUUCCUCGCACUCGGACCACAACAAGGCGAAGGGGCUGCAACGGCUAAGGACUUAAUCCAUCACAUGAAGUGCAGUGAAGGCCCGCGUUACCAGUAACGCCGAGAGUUAUAACUGUCGUUUCUAGUAACUUCCCUCUUUAUUAGCAUUAACUCACCUUGUAAUGAAGCUCGGCCGGUCGUGUCAGCAACUAUAUAAGCCACUCCCGGGCUCCAGCUCAACGGUUCAACUCCUUGUAAUCUUUCAUACUCCAUAAGCAAACAUCAGCCUCAGGGCCCGAGACGUAGGGUUGUUACCACCUCCGAGUGGGGCAUGUACCCGUACAUCCGAGUGCAUCCAUUGCGCCUAGUUAGACUUUGCCCCCUUUUCGUACCCCUAGGUACUAUUGUGAGGGUCAUUCCCACAACAGUUGGCGCCCAUUGUGGGGGUGCACGUCUAGCAAAUCCAGCGCAGUUGGAGAUUUACCGGCCCUGUUUGGAUACUCUAAUCCGGUUAGAGGUUAGAGUUAGAUUCUAACCCUGAACUAACUCUGAACUAACUCUAACCAAAGAGGUGUUUGGAUGAGAGGGUUAGAUUGACAAUAAAUGCUCUUUCUCAAUCAUUUGACUACUUUGGACCCUAUUUCCUACCGGAUUUGGUGUGACCGACAUUUGUGUGGCCUCCUCCCGCUCACAAUUGACCCUAUUUCCUACUGUUUCCUCCUCCGCGAUCGGCCGCCGCAGACGACGAGCCACCAAAGUUCAGUUGUCGGGCCAAGGGUGGCGACGGGUUCGCCCAUCCGUCUCCUGGUCUGGCACGUGCUGGCUGAUAGGAAGGGAGCCUGGAGGCCCCGCCUCGUCCAGGAAGGAGCUCGUCGUAGCUCUGGAGGAAAGCUCCGUAUAGCCCAAGCCCCGGGAACCCCUCCGGCGCUGAAUCUUGAGAGUUGAGGUCGAGAUCGGCAUGGGUAGCUGGGCCGCUUGCCGACGGCUGCGAACCCCAUACCUCGAAGCCCUCUCCGUCCAUCGCAGGUGGGUUGACAACCCACAAGCGUAUGGGAUCGCAACAGUUUUCGAGGGUAGAGUAUUCAACCCAAAUUUUUUGGUUCACACAAGGGAAGCGAAAGAAUAUUCUCGAGUAUUAGCAGCUGAGUUCGUGAUACGUCCAUUUUGCAUCAUGCUUUCAUGUUGAUAUUGAUCGCUUUAUGGACUGUUAUAUUACUUUGUGGUACCAUACUUAUGCCUUUUCUCUCUUAUUUUGCAAGGUUUAUUUGAAGAGGGAAAAUACCGGCAGCUGGAUUUCUGGACUAGAAAAGGAGCAAGUCUGAGUCCUCUAUUCUGCGCAACACCAAAUGCCCUGAAAAUCAACGUGAAUUUUUUUUGGGAAUAUAUAAAAAAUACUGGGCGAAAGAAGUGCCAGAGGGGCGCUACCAGGGGCCCACAAGCCUGGUAGCCGCCACCCCCUAGUGGCGGCUACAGGGCUUGUGGGCACACUGGCGGCCCACUAGCCCCCCUCUUUUGCUAUAUGAAGGGUUUCGUCCAGGAAAAAAAAUCAAGGUGGAGCUUUUUCGUGGAUUCUCCGCCGCCUCGAGGCGGAACUUGAGCAGAACCAAUCUAGAGCUCCGGCAGGACGAUUCUGCCGGGGAAACUUCCCUCCCGGAGGGGGAAAUCGUCGCCAUCGUCAUCACCAACACUCCUCUCAUCGGAGGGGAGUCAUCUCCAUCAACAUAUUCAUCAGCACCAUCUCCUCUCCAAACCCUAGUUCAUCUCUUGUAACCAAUCUUCGUCUCGCGACUCCGAUUGGUACUUGUAAGGUUGCUAGUAGUGUUGAUUACUCUUUGUAGUUGAUGCUAGUUGGGUUACUUGGUGGAAGAGUUUAUGUUCAGAUCCUUGAUGCUACUCAUUACACCUCUGAUCAUGAUUAUGAUUAUGCUUUGUGAGUAGUUACUUUUGUUCCUGAGGACAUGGGAUAAGUCAUGCUGAUAAUAGUCAUGUGAAUUUGGUAUUCCUUCGGUAUUUUGAUAUGCUGUAUGUUGUCUUUUCCUCUAGUGGUGUUAUGUGAACGUCGACUACAUAACACUUCACCAUAUUUGGGCCUAGAGGAAGGCACUGGGGAGUAGUAAGUAGAUGAUGGGUUGCUAGAGUGACAGAAGCUUAAACCCCAGUCUAUGUGUUGCUUCGUAAGGGGCUGAUUUGGAUCCACUAGUUUAAUGCUAUAGUUAGACGUUGUCUUAAUUCUUCUUUCAUAGUUGCGGAUGCUUGCGAGAGGGGUUAAUCAUAAGUGGGAUACUUGUCCAAGUAAGGGCAGUACCCAAGCGCCGGUCCACCCACAUAUCAAACUAUCAAAGUAACGAACGGGAAUCACAUGAACAUGAUGAAACUAGCAUGCCAGAAAUUCCCGUGUGUCCUCGGGAGCGUUUUUCCUCUUAUAAGACUUUGUUCAGGCUUGUCCCUUGCUACAAAAGGGAUCGGGCCACUUUACUGCACCGUUUCUACUACUUGUUACUUGUUACUUUUCACUUGCUACGUUUCACCUCACUACACCAUCACUUGUUACCUCUACUUUCAGUGCUUGCAGUUAUUACCUUGCUGAAAACCGUUUAUCAGAGCCUUCUGCUCCUCGUUGGGUUCGACACUCUUACUUAUUGAAAGGACUACGAUUGAUCCCCUAUACUUGUGGGUCAUCAAGACUCUUUUCUGGCGCCGUUGCCGGGGAGUGAAGCGCCUUUGGUAAGGAAACAUUUAUAUACUGUGCUGAAAUUUAUUGUCACUUGUCACUAUGGAAACUGUUCCUUUGAGGAGUUUGUUCGGGGUAUCUUCACCACGAACGGAAGUGCGAGGAGUUGCUCCUCAACCUGAGGUACCUACUGAAAAUAUCUUUUAUGAAAUUCCUUCGGGUAUGCUUGAGAAACUGCUGGCUAAUCCUUUUACAGGAGAUGGAUCAUCACAUCCAGACUUGCAUCUAAUCUAUGUAGAUGAAGUUUGUGGUUUAUUUAAGCUUGCAGGUUUGCCCGAGGAUGAGGUAAAGAAGAAAGUAUUUCCUUUAUCUUUGAAUGAUAAGGCAUUGACAUGGUAUAGGCUUUGUGAUGAUACUGGAUCAUGGGACUACAAUCGGUUGAAAUUGGAAUUUCACCAAAAGUUUUAUCCUAUGCAUUUAGUACAUCAUGAUCGGAAUUUUAUUUAUAACUUUUGGCCUCGUGACAGGGAAAGCAUAGCUCAAGCUUGGGGAAGGCUUAAAUCAAUGCUAUAUUCAUGCCCCAAUCAUGAGCUCUCGAGAGAAAUUAUCACUCAAAACUUUUAUGCUCGACUUUCUCAUGAAGAUCGUACCAUGCUUGACACUUCUUGUACCGGUUCUUUUAUGAAGAAGGAUAUUGACCACAAGUGGAAUUUAUUGGAAAGAAUCAAACGUAACUCUGAAGAUUGGGAGCUUGAAGAAGGUAAGGAGUCAGGUAUGAAUUUCCAGUUUGAUUGCGUUAAAUCUUUUGUUGAAACAAACACUUGUAGAGAUUUUAGCGCUAAGUAUGGACUUGACUCUGAGAUAGUAGCUUCUCUAUGUGAAUCUUUUGCUGCUCAUGUUGAUCUUCCCAAAGAGAAGUGGUUUAAGUAUCAUCCUCCUGUAGAAGUCAACAUAGUUAAACCCAAUCUAGUUGAAGAGAAAGUCAUUGCCUUUAGUGAUCCUAUUGUUCCUUGUGCCUACGCUGAGAAACCACCUUACCCUGCUAGGAAAAAGGAUUAUUCUAAAGCUCCAACUGUGAUACGUAGGGGUUACAUUAGACCACUUGCACCCCCUGAGGAAAUUAGAGUUGAACCUAGUGUUGCUAUUAUCAAAGAUAUCUUAGCCGAAGACAUAGACGGGCAUGUUAUCAAAUUCUGUGAGGACUCCGCUAGAAUUGCUAAACCUCAGGCGAAAGACAAAUACGGACGUGUAGUUGGCCUGCCCGUUGUUUCUGUCAAGAUAGGAGACCGCUGUUAUCAUGGUUUAUGUGAUAUGGGUGCUAGUGUUAGUGCAAUACCCCGGUCCCUAUAUGAUGAAAUCAAAGAUGAGAUUGCACCUGCUGAGUUAGAACCCAUUGAUGUCACUAUUACGCUAGCUAAUAGAGACACUAUCUGCCCUGUGGGAAUUGUGAGAGACGUAGAAGUCCUGUGUGGUAAGACGAAGUAUCCUACUGAUUUCCUCGUCCUUGCUACUGCAAAAGAUAGCUUUUGUCCCAUCAUAUUUGGUAGACCCUUUCUCAACACUGUCAAUGCUCAUAUUGAUUGCAUUAAACAGACGUCACUGUUAGUUUCGAGGGUGUGUGUCAUGAAUUUAACUUCUCCAAGUUUGGAAGACAACCCCAUGAAAAAGAGUCGUUUGGUAGGGAUGAAAUCAUCGCUCUUGCCUCUAUUGCCGUACCUCCUACGGAUCCUUUAGAGCAAUAUCUGCUUGAGCAUGAAAAUGAUAUGCAUAUGGAUGAGAGAGAUGAGAUAGAUAAAAUUGUUUUAGAACAAUAUCCUAUUCUCAAGAAUAAUCUGCCUGUUGAACUGCUUGGGGAUCCUCCCCCACCAAAGGGUGAUCCUGUGUUCGAGCUAAAACAGUUACCAUACACUCUUAAGUAUGCCUACCUUGAUGAGAAGGAGAUAUAUCCUGUUAUUAUUAGUGCUCACCUCUCGAAUCACGAAGAGAAGAAGUUAUUAAAAACUUUGAGGAAGCACCGUGAGGCUAUUGGAUAUAGUCUUGAUGAUCUUAAGGAUAUUAGUCCCACUCUAUGCCAGCACAAGAUCAAAACUAAUCCUGAAUUCAAACCAGUUGCUCAUCAUCAAAGGAGAUUAAAUCCUAAGAUGAAAGAGGUCAUGAGAAAAGAAAUAUUAAAGCUUCUAGAAGCAUGAAUCAUUUAUCCUGUUGCUCAUAGUGAUUGGGUAAGUCCAGUACAUUGCGUACCUAAGAAGGGAGGUAUCACCGUUGUUCCUGAUGAUAAGAAUGAACUAAUCCCACAAAGGAUUAUUACUGGCUAUAGGAUGGUGAUAGACUUCCGGAAACUGAACAAGGCAACCAGGAAAGACCAUUAUCCUUUGUCGUUUAUCGACCAAAUGCUAGAAAGGCUAUCUAAACAUACACACUUCUGCUUUCUAGACGGUUAUUCAGGUUUCUCGCAAAUACCUGUUGCACAAUCUGAUUAGGAGAAAAUCACUUUCACCUGCCCCUUUGGUACCUUUGCUUAUAGACGUAUGCCUUUUGGCUUAUGCAACGCACCUGCCACCUUUCAAAGGUGUAUGAUGGCUAUAUUCUCUCACUUUUGUGAAAAGAUUGUUGAGGUUUUUAUGGAUGAUUUCUCCGUUUACGGUUCCUCCAUUGACGAUUGCCUCAGCAACCUUGAUCGAGUCUUACAGAGAUGCAAAGAUACCAACCUCGUCUUGAACUGGGAGAAGUGCCACUUCAUGGUUAAUGAAGGCAUCGUCUUAGGACACAAAAUCUCUGAGAAAGGCAUUGAAGUUGAUAAGGCUAAGGUUGAUGCAAUUGAGAAAAUGCCUUGCCCCACAGAUAUCAGAGGUAUACGAAGUUUCCUAGGUCACGCUGGUUUCUAUAUAAGGUUCAUUAAAGACUUCUCUAAGAUUUCUAGGCCUCUUACCAACCUCUUGCAUAAGGAUGUUCCUUUUGUUUUUGAUGAGGAUUGUGAGGAAGAUUUCAAAAUACUUAAGAAGGCCUUGAUAACCGCACCUAUUGUUCAACCACCUGAUUGGAACUUGCCCUUUGAAAUCAUAUGCGAUGCUAGUGAUUAUGCUGUUGGUGCUGUUCUAGGACAAAGAGUUGACAAGAAGUUGAAUGCUAUUCACUACGCUAGUAAAACUCUAGACAGUGCCCAAAGAAACUAUGCCACUACGGAAAAGGAGUUUUUAGCAGUCGUGUUUGCAUGUGAAAAGUUCAGAUCUUAUAUAGUUGACUCCAAAGUCACUAUUCACUCUGAUCAUGCUGCUAUUAAGUACCUUAUGGAGAAGAAGGACGCUAAGCCUAGGCUAAUCAGAUGGGUUCUCCUGCUACAGGAAUUUGAUUUGCAUGUUGUUGACCGAAAGGGUGCUGAUAACCCUGUAGCAGAUAACAUGUCCAGGCUAGAGAAUGUCCUUGAUGACCCAUGACCUAUUGAUGACAACUUUCCUGAUGAGCAAUUGAAUGUCAUCCGCACUUCACAUAGUGCACCGUGGUAUGCUGAUUACGCAAACUAUAUCGUAGCCAAAUAUAUACCACCCAGUUUCACCUACCAACAAAAGAAGAAAUUCUUCUUUGAUUUGAGACACUAAUUUUGGGAUGAUCCUCACCUUUAUAAGGAAGGAGUAGACGGUGUUAUUAGACGUUGUGUGCCUGAACACGAACAGGGACAGAUCCUGCAGAAGUGUCAUUCCGAAGCCUACGGAGGACACCAUGCUGGAGAUAGAACUGCUCAUAAGGUAUUGCAAUCAGGUUUCUAUUGUCCCACUCUCUUCAAGGAUGCCCGUAAGUUUGUCUUGUCUUGUGACGAAUACCAAAGAAUAGGGAACAUCAGUAAACGUCAGGAAAUGUCUAUGAACUAUUCACUUGUCAUUGAACCAUUUGAUGUUUGGGGCUUUGAUUAUAUGGGACCCUUCCCAAGUUCCAAUGGGUACACUCACAUCUUAGUCGCUGUUAAUUAUGUCACUAAGUGGGUAGAAGCUAUCCCCACUAGAAAUGCUGAUCAUCACACCUCUAUUAAGAUGCUUAAAGAAGUCAUUUUCCCAAGAUUUGGAGUCCCUAGAUAUCUGAUGACUGAUGGCGGUUCACACUUCAUUCAUGGUGUUUUCCGCAAGAUGCUUGCUAAGUAUGAUGUCAACCAUAGAGUUGCAUCUCCUUAUCAUCCUCAGUCUAGUGGUCAAGUGGAGUUGAGUAAUAGGGAGAUCAAGUUGAUAUUACAAAAGACUGUCAAUAGAUCUCGAAAGAAUUGGUCUAGUAAACUUGACGAUGCACUAUGGGCUCAUAGGACUGCUUAUAAGAAUCCCAUGGGCAUGUCAUCGUAUAAAAUGGUUUACAGUAAGGCCUGUCAUUUACCUCUUGAGCUAGAACACAAGGCUUAUUGGGCAAUCAAAGAGCUCAACUUCGAUUUCAAACUUGCCGGUGAGAAGCGGUUGUUUGAUAUCAGCUCAUUAGAUGAAUGGAGGGCCCAGGCAUAUGAGAAUGCCAAGUUGUUCAAGGAAAAGGUUAAGAGAUGGCACGAUAAAAGAAUACAAAAACGAGAGUUCAAUGUAGGUGAUUAUGUCCUGCUAUACAAUUCUCGCAUAAGAUUCUUCGCAGGCAAGCUUCUCUCUAAAUGGGAAGGUCCUUACGUUGUCGAGGAAGUAUAUCGUUCCGGUGCCAUCAAAAUCAAUAACACGGAAGGUAAUUUUCCUAGAGUGGUAAAUGGGCAAAGAAUCAAGCACUAUAUCUCUCGUACUCCCAUAAAUGUUGAGACCAAUAUCAUCAAUAUCAUAACUCCAGAGGAGUACAUAAGGGAUGUUUAUCAGCCUGUUUCAGACCCUGAAAACGAAGAGGUAUGUGUUUCAGUAAGUAAUUGGACUCCGAAACUUUGCCAAUAGGAAAUUUUCUCCGUUUUGGAAUUUUUGGAAAAUUAGAAAAAUAAAAAGAAGUCCGGAGAGCGCAUGAGGCGGCCACAAGCUUGGUAGCCGCCACCUACCCCCCUAGCGGCGGCUACAGGGCUUGUGGGCACCUCGUGUGCCUCCCGGACUCCGUUUUCUUGCGGAGCACUCCUUUUGGUCCAGAAGAAAUCAUUAUAUAUACGCCCGAGGGUUUUGAUCUCCGUAUCGCGCAUUUUUCCUCUGUUUUUGUUUCGAGCCUGUUAUCUGCCGCAGAUCUAGGUCAAGAUGUCUUCUCAGGAUUCAGAGGGGGAGAGCUAUGUGGCUGAUUAUCUUGCUAACCCCAAGGUUUAUGGGGACUUGGAACCAUAUGGCUGGACCACUGACGAGGAAGAGGACUGUGAGCCCAAGGGGAAGGAACAAACGAGUUCCUACGAAGAGGAGGCUCCUCUACCUCAACCUGGACGCACUCAUGUGGAGUUCAAGAAGUCAAGCCUCCCUGACCAAAGGAAGAAGCCUAAGACCUUGUUUAUCCCUUCUCGUUUCUUGCAGGAGAGUAAGCAGGAACAUUGCCAUAGAGUGUUGAAGCUUGAGGAGGAAAAUUACGAUCUGAGGGAGCAGAACUUUAUGCUCAAGUGGAAAUUAGACAAGCUCAAGACUGCUUCAACAACUCCACCACCAUCACCACCAAAGGAAGACAACUAAGCAUUGGUAUGGGCAAUCCCCUUGGCUUUUGCCAAGCUUGGGGGAGUUUCCCUGGUAUCGUAUCACCUUUAUAUCUUUUGCUUUUACCUUUGUUUUAGUUCUUCCCUUUUCAGUUUUUAUUUCUUCUCUUAGUAGAAUAAGUCUUUAGUGUUUAGUUUGAGUCUUUUGCUUUGUGUCUCCCCUCAUGUAUUCGAGCUUGCGAGCUUUAUAAUAAAGAGUAUCUUAGUCAAGGGCUUUGUCUUGUGCCGUGAUCAAAAGUAUUAAAAGAGCGAUAGCAUGAAAGUGAUAGCUUCACAUAUAACAAGUAUGAUGAUUGAAACUUGUUGAGAAUAGACCAACAUAGACCCUAGUCAUUGUUGCAAUAAAUAAGAAGUAAUAAGGAAAGAGAGGUUCACAUAUAAAUAUAUCAUCUUAGACACUUUUUACAAUUGUGAGCACUCACCAAACUAUUACGUGCUUAGAAGUAGAUGUUGGACAAGGAAGACAACAUAAUGAAUUGUGUUUGCUUGGUUCCAAACAAUGUUAUAUGCCUAGAGAUCCCUUAGCAUGUGAUGAUUGCUUCCACCUCAUAUUAGCCAAAACUCCCGCAACAAGUAGAUAUACUACUUGUGCAUCCAUAAACCUUCAAACCAGUUUUGCCAUGACUGUCCACCAUACCUACCUAUGGAUUGAAUAAGAUCCCUCAAGUAAGUUGUCAUCGGUGCAAGAAAUAAAAAUUGCUCUCUAAUAUGUAUGAUCUAUUAGUGUGUGGAAAAUAAGCUUUGUACGAACCUGUGAUGAGGAAGACAUAAAAGCGACAGACUGCAUAAUAAAGUUCUUUAUCACAGGAGGCAAUAUAGAGUGAUGUUCCUCCGCACUAAGAGGACACACAUCCUAACCAGAAAAGCGCAUGACAACCUCUGUUUCCCUCUGCGAAGGGCCUAUCUUGUACCUUUACUUUUUGCCCUUGAAAGAGUCAUGGUGAUCUUCACCAAUUCCUUAUUUUGCCUUUGUCUUGGCUACUGUCACAAGCUAGGGAAAGAUCUAUAUUCAUAUAUCAACUUGGAGGUGAGUACUUAUGCUUUAUUAUUGUUGACUUUACCCUUGAGGUAAAUGGUUGUGAGGCAAAACUAUAAGCCCCUAUCUUUCUCUGUGUCCAACUGAAACUUUGGUACCAUGAGUACCACGUGAGUUGUAACAAUUGUGGAAAACAAAAGAGAUGAUUGAGUAUGUGGGUUUGCUUUACAAGCUCUUAUUUGACUCUUUUUGAUGUUAUGAUAAAUUGCAACUGCUUCAAUGACUAUGGACUGUUAUUUGCUACUUCUCGGUAAGGUUUUUGUUUCAUACUUUGCUUUGUGAAUUAAUUGUUACUUUCCCAUAAGAAUCUUUAUGAUGUAUUGUUGUUCUAUGUGUGAUCAUGAUGCCCUCAUGUCUGUAUUAUGUUUUAUCGACACCUUCAUCCCUAAACAUGUGGACAUGUUUAUGGAUCUUGGUUUUCGCUUGAGGACAAGCGAGGUCUAAGUUUGGGGAGUUGAUACGUCCAUUUUGUAUCAUGCUUUCAUGUUGAAAUUUAUCGCUUUAUGGACUGUUAUUACUUUGUGGUACCAUACUUAUGCCUUUUCUCUCUUAUUUUGCAAGGUUUAUUUGAAGAGGGAGAAUACCGACAGCUGGAAUUCUGGACUGGAAAAGGAGCAAGUCUGAGUCCUCUAUUCUGCGCAACUCCAAAUGCCCUGAAAAUCAACGUGGAAUUUUUUGGGAAUAUAUAAAAAAUACUGGGCGAAAGAAGUGCGAGAGGGGCGCUACCAGGGGCCCACAGGCCUGGUAGCCGCCCCCUGGGGGCGGCUACAGGGCUUGUGGGCACCCUGGCGGCCCACUGCCCCCCCUCUUUUUCUAUAUGAAGGGUUUCGUCCAGGAAAAAAUCAAGGUGGAUCUUUUUCGUGGAUUCUCCGCCGCCCCGAGGCGGAACUUGAGCAGAACCAAUCUAGAGCUCCGGCAGGACGAUCCUGCCGGGGAAACUUCCCUCCCGGAGGGGGAAAUCGUCGCCAUCGUCAUCACCAACACUCCUCUCGUCGGAUGGGAUUCAUCUCCAUCAACAUCUUCAUCAGCACCAUCUCCUCUCCAAACCCUAGUUCAUCUCUUGUAACCAAUCUCCGUCUCGCGACUCCGAUUGGUACUUGUAAGAUUGCUAGUAGUGUUGAUUACUCUUUGUAGUUGAUGCUAGUUGGAUUACUUGGUGGAAGAGUUUAUGUUCAGAUCCUUGAUACUUCUCAUUACACCUCUGAUCAUUAUUACGAUUAUGCUUUGUGAGUAGUUACUUUUGUUCCUGAGGACAUGGGAUAAGUCAUGCUGAUAAUAGUCAUGUGAAUUUGGUAUUUGUUCGGUAUUUUGAUAUGUUGUAUGUUAUCUUUUCCUCUAGUGGUGUUAUUUGAACGUCGACUACAUAACACUUCAUCGUAUUUGGGCCUAGAGGAAGGAAUUGGGGAGUAGUAAGUAGAUGAUGGGUUGCUAGAGUGACAAAAGCUUAAACACCAGUCUAUGCGUUGCUUCGUAAGGGGCUGAUUUGGAUCCACUAGUUUAACACUAUGGUUAGACGUUGUCUUAAUUCUUCUUUCGUAGUUGCGGAUGCUUGCGAGAGGGGUUAAUCAUAACUGGGAUGCUUGUCCAAGUAAGGGCAGUACCCAAGCGCCGGUCCACCCACAUAUCAAACUAUCAAAGUAACGAACGCGAAUCACAUGAACAUGAUGAAACUAGCAUGACAGAAAUUCCCGUGUGUCCUCGGGAGCGUUUUUCCUCUUAUAAGACUUUGUUCAGGCUUGUCCCUUGCUACAAAAGGGAUUGGGCCACUUUGCGGCACCGUUGCUACUACUUGUUACUUGUUACUUUUCACUUGCUACGUUUCACCUCACUACACCAUCACUUGUUACCGCUACUUUCAGUGCUUGCAGUUAUUACCUUGCUCAAAACCGUUUAUCAGAGCCUUCUUGUCCUCGUUGGGUUCAACACUCUUACUUAUCGAAAGGACUACCAUUGAUACCCUAUACUUGUGGGUCAUCAGUUCGUCAGAUUCAACCACACCUGAAAGAUUAGUGUCUGCAGCAAGGUAUCAGUAGCAAAGUAGUAUGAUAGCAACGGUGCCAGAAACGAUAUGUUGACGGCAGACUAUUCCUAACUGUUGUAUCAAUGCCGCGAGUAGAGAGCAUGUGGACGGGGAACUAUUCUUCCGAGGCAACGGCUCCAGAAAAGUCUUGCAACAAGUAGCCGCAAAGUAGCAAGGCACAGCAGUAGCAGCAACAACAAAGUAACAACAGUAGCAACAGUAGCAGCAAAGUGACAGCAGUAGCAACAGUAGCAGCAAAGUGGCCCAAUCCCUUUUGUAGCAAGGGACAAGCCUAGACAAAGUAACAUAGCGAGGACCAGUAGUAAAAAACUCGUAGGCAGUGGAUCGGUGAUGGAUGAGUAUGACAGAUGUGAUUCAUCAUGUAACAGCUAUAACAGGGAGAGAUAUGUGACUAGGUCCUGUUCAUCAAUCUAAUGUAGGCAUGUAUUCCGUAUGUAGUCAUGCGUGCCUAGGGAAAAGAACUUGCAUGGCAUCUAUUGUCCAUCCCUCCCGUGGCAGCGGGGUCCUAAUGGAAACUACGGGAUAUUAAGGUUCUCCUUUUAAUAAAGAACCGGACCAACGCAUUCACACGCGGUGAAUACAUGAACUCCUCAUACUAUGGUCAUCUCCGGGAGUGGUUCCGGCUAUUGUCACUCUGGGGUUGCCGGUUCAUAACACAUAGUAGGUGACUACAACUUGCAAGAUAGGAUCUAAAACACACAUAUAUUGGUGACAACAUAAUAGGUUCACAUCUGAAAUCAUGGCACUCGGGCCCUAGUGACAAGCAUUAAGCAUAGCCAAGUAGUAGCAACAUCAAUCUAGAACAUAGUGGAUACUAGGGAUCAAUCCCCGUCAAGAACUAACUCGAUUACAUGAUAGAUCUCAUCCAACUCAUCACCGUCCAGCAAGCCUACAAUGAGAUUACUCACGAACGAUGAAGAACAUCAUGGAAUUGUCGAUGGAGAAAGGUUGAUGAUGACGAUGGCGACGAUUUCCCCUCUCCGGAGCCCGAAACGGACUCCAGAUCUGCCCUCCAGAUGAAGAACAAGAUGUGGCGACACCUCCGUACCGCAAAAUGCGAUGAAACCUUCUCUCUGAUUUUUUUUCCAGGCGAAACGGAAGAUAUAGAGCUGAGUUUGGGGGUGGUGGUGCCACGUGGGCCCCACAAGCCUACACGGCGCGACCUAGGGGGGUGGCCGCGGCCUGUGGGCUUGUGGCCCACUGGCACGCCCCCUCCGGUGGAUCUUUGCGCAUGUAUUUUUCUUUUAUUACAGAAAAAAUCUCCGUAAAUUUUUAGGACAUUCCGAGAACUUUUAUUUCUGCACAAAAACAACACCAUGGCAAUUCUGCUGAAAACAACGUCAGUCCGGGUUAGUUCCAUUCAAAUUAUGCAAAUUAGAGUCCAAAACAAGGGCAAAAGAGUUCCGAAAAGUAGAUACGACAGAGACGUAUCAACUCCCCCAAGCUUAAAGCCUUGCUUGUCCUCAAGCAAUUUAGUUGACAAACUGAAAGAGACAAAAGAAAAACUUUGACGAACUCUGUUUGAUCUUGUUGUUGCAACUAUGUCUAACUCAUAUCCAGAGUUUCAGCAAGAUCACAAGCAAACCACAUAAGCAAAUGACAUCUAGGUCUCACGGUAAACUCAUAUCAAUGGCAUAAUCAACUAGUGAGCAAAUAAUAAUAAGCCUCAAAUGUCAACACUUCAAUCAAAACAACAUGAAGCAGUACGAAUAGAUGGUAUCUCGCUAGCUCUUUGUGAGACCACAAAACAUAAAUGCAGAGCACCUUCAAAGACCAAGGGCUGACUAAACAUUGUAAUUCAUGACAAUGAAGAUCCAGUCAUAGUCAUACUCAACAUAGUUAAAAGCAAAGCAUAAAAAUGACAGAGGUGCUCUCUAAUUGGUGCUUUGUAGGAGGAGGAGGAUGACUCAACAGGAACAUAAAUAGACAGGCCCUUCGCAGAGGGAAGCAUUGAUUUGCAGAGGUGACAGAGCUCAAGCUUUGAAAACAGAGAUAAUAAUUUUGGGUGGCAUGCUUUCAUUUUCAACGCAAUGACUAAGAGUUCUCAACAUCUUCCACGCUACACAUGCCAUAGGCGGUUCCCAAAAAAAAGGCAAAGUUUUGACCCCCCCCACCACCAAUCAAUCACACUCCACGGCUAGCCGAAUCCUCGGGUACCGUCCAUACCAACAACAAUCCUGGGGGAGUUUUGUUUGCAAUUAUCUUUUCGAUUUGAGCAUGGAACUGGGAAUUCCAAUUACCGGCCCCUUUCUCGUGAAUGAUAGUGAAUAAACACAUAUCGAGAAUAACACGCCUAGCAUGGAAGAUACCAAUAGCCCCCUGUCACCACAUGAACGGUUCGGGCAUGCAAAACAGAUUAUUUCUUGAAGAUUUAGAGAAUGGCACAUGCAAAUUUACUUGGAACGGCAGGUAGAUACCGCACAUAGGUAGGUAUGGUGGACUCAUAUGGCACAACUUUGGGUUUAUGGAGGUGGAUGCACAAGCAGUAUUCCCGCUUAGUACAAGUGAAGGCUAGCAAAAGACCGGGAAGCGACCAACUAGAGAGCGACAAUAGUCAUCAAAAUGCAUUGAGAGUAACUAACAUUGAGUGCAAGCAUGAGUAGGACAUAAAUCACCAUGAACAUGAACAUCAUAGAGGCUAUGUUAAUUUUGUUUCAACUACAUGCGUGAACAUGCGCCAAGUCAAGCCACUUGAAUCAUUCAAAGGAGGAUACCAUCCUAUCAUACUACAUCAUAGUCAUCUCAACAUUCAUGUUGGCAACCAAGACAAACCAUUAUAAGCUCCUAGCUAAGUAAGCAUGGCAUAAGCAACUAUGAUCUCUAAGUUGUUAUUGCAAACAUGUUUCCCUCACAACAAAGCUGAACUAGGAACAAUGAGCUAGUCAUAUUUACAAAAACAAAAUAGAUCGAGUUCAUACCAGCUUUUCCAGGCUCAGUCACUUCAUCAUAUAUCGUCAUUAUUGCCUUUCACUCGCACGACCGAACGAUGUGAACAAUAAUAAGAGUGCUCGUGCAUUGGACUACGCUGGAAUCUGCAGGCAAACACAAAGGAGAAGACAAAGUAAUAUGGCUCUUUGAAAGCUAAACAGGUAUGCAUGCAAGACCCACUAAACAUUGUAACCAAUAUCUUCUACCUUGACCCAAAGAAAAAGAAAACUAUCUACACGGGAAAGCUCCCAACAAGCAAAAGAAGAAAAAGAAAAUCUUUUUGUUUUUUCUCAAACUAGACAGACACACGAAAAGAAAAGGAGAAAAAGAAAAUAAACUAACAUGGAUGAUAAAGUGGCAAAGUGUGAACACCGGCUAACAAAGUGAAAGCAUAAGCAAAAAUGUAAAGUCGGUGAGAACACGUACUCCCCCAAGCUUAGGCUUUUGGCCUAACUUGGUCUACUCCCAAGGAGGGAAAUAACCAGCUCCGGGGUACUCCGGAGUGGACUGAGGAUGCCAGUGUUGUGUAAGCUCCUCUGGCUCCCACUGAUAAACUGGCGUCUGGUACUCGACUGGCGGCUCCGGCACGGGCACCUGUGGUUGG